AGUGGUAUUUGGGCACAGCACAUUAAAUUGGGAUGUGAGAAAAUUUUUUCCCUUUUGAAGGGCAAAUUAGGUUGGCGUCCCUUGGAGCUUCGUCUCUUUUCUUCAUCAUCUUCUCACUGAUUCUUCCUUUCUUUCUUUGUUUGCAGGAUUUAAUCAAGAACUCAAACCUGAACACUCCUUCUUGAGUUCUUUGCAUUAAAUCCCCAAAUUCAAUUUAGGGAUUUCAAUCCCAUAGCUUUUUUCUUCUUCGCCGGCAACAACAUCGGCUUCACCACCUUCUCCGACAAGCACCUUUCACUGCUGAUUGUUGCUUCUCGUGUUUAUGGUUUAUCAAAGGUUUCAACUGCUUAGGUCAAUCUCAGACGAUGGCGAGCAGAGUUUACGUUCAUUACCACCACGCCGAUGCCUGCAGCAAAGCUCGCUGGAACGCCAGAGAGACCUUUAGGUUUAUGUAUGAUAGGCCUUGGCAACACGUUCUUGAUUUCUAUUCAAAUGCAGUGGAAGGGAAACUUUCAGUCCUUGAUUUGUUUCAGCCUAAGAAAUAUUUGGUCCAUGAUGAUGGGAUAACUGAAGGGAUGCCUCUUGAAACCGAAUUGGAGACUUCUACUAGGAAAGACGGGAGAUCCGGGAGGUGGGAAAGAGUCAAUUUCAAGAUCGUUCUUUCGUACAGUGGGACUAGUUUUGAUGGAUGGCAGAAACAGCCUGACUUACACACUGUUCAGGGUGUGGUAGAGAAGUCUCUCGGGGGAUUUGUUGAUGAAAAGAAAGCCCAACUGCUCAAGAAAAAAUGUAAACCAUUAGAAGGUCGUGUACUUGUUGCUGGAAGAACUGACAAAGGAGUGUCUGCUCUUAAUCAAGUUUGUUCUUUUUAUACCUGGAGAAAAGACAUUGAACCCACUGAAAUUGAAGAUGCUAUCAAUAAAGAUUCUUCUGGCAAACUUAGGGUUGUGUCAAUCUCUAAGGUUUCCAGAUCAUUUCACCCAAAUUUCUCUGCAAAAUGGAGGCGUUACUUGUAUAUCUUUCCUUUGGGUGAUACUGAGCCAUUGAGCGAAGGUGGCAAGAACCAUGAGAACUUUAUCUUUGAUGAGAACCGUGAAAAGCAAAGAAAUGGACUCUUAAGUGAAGGAGUAAUAUUGAGCGAGGAUGAUGAGCUUGAAGUUGAGGAAACCAGGAAAAGUUUUCAAGUAGUAGCGAAACCAAGUGAAUUCAGUGUAAGCAAGGUUGAUCAACUUUUACAGCAGCUUCAAGGAAAAGUAUUAUCGUACAAGAUGUUUGCGCGUGAUACGAAGGCUGCAAGAAACGAAGGUCCACCUACAGAAUGUUUCAUGUACCAUGCACGGGCAGCUGAGAUUAGAUUGUCCUGUUCUGAUUAUGUAGAAGGAAGAAGGGUUAUGUGUGUUGAGCUUGUCGCUAACCGAUUUCUCCGCAAGAUGGUAAGAGUUCUUGUGGCAACAUCAAUCCGAGAAGCAGCUGCUGGUGCAGAUAAUGAUGCAUUGUUAAAACUGCUAGAAGCUUCAUGCAGACGAGCCACAGCUCCUCCAGCUCCAUCUGAAGGUCUCUGUUUAUUUGACGUUGGUUACACUGAUUUUGACCCUCAAAUUUCUCUCAUUUCCUGAGAAUAGCAUGUAACAUUUACUCACAUAUUGAAUGGAAUCUGCAUGGUUUAGAUUAAAUUUCCGCUUGUCGUUUUAUUUAAGUGAUCCAGUUUUAAAAAUAUUUUAGCAUUUUUAUACAAAUUAGAAAAUUACAUGUCAUUUACAAGUGUCACUAAUUUUGUAUUAAUAUUACUAAAUAUCUAUUUUAGACUAAUAAGUUAUUAUAACAAUCUUAAUAAUCUUAAUUAUGAAUAAUGCCAUAACUAUUGGAUGAGUUUGGUGGGUGUAGUGUAACAUAUGAACUACUUUACACUAUUUGAGUUUUGAUUGGUUCGGCUGAGAUACAUGGGAGUGGAUGUUUUGAAGCAUCAUAUAAAGCAGUGCUAUCAAGCGGACAAAUGAUGGUCGUGAAGAGGUUCAAGCAGAUGAACAACAGUGUAGGGAGAGAUGAGUUUCAAGAGCACACGAAAAGAUUAGGGAGGUUAAGGCACCAUAAUCUGCUUCCCAUUGUGGCUUAUUACUAUAGGAAGGAGGAGAAGUUAUUGGUAUGUGAUUUUGCUGAGAGAGGAAGCUUGGCUGUUAAUCUUCACAGUAAUCAGUCGUUAGGAAAUCCAAGUUUGGACUGGCCAACAAGAUUGAAGAUCGUGAAAGGAGUUGCAAGGGGGCUGUUAUAUCUCCACCAUGAUCUACCUAGCCUAAUGGCUCCACAUGGUCAUCUCAAAUCCUCCAAUGUUCUCCUCACCAAAGCCUUUGAACCACUUCUCACAGACUAUGGCUUAAUUCCGUUGAUCAACCAAGAGAAGACACAAGUGCACAUGGCAGCCUAUAGAUCCCCUGAGUAUUUGCAACACCAACGUAUCACCAAGAAAACUGAUGUAUGGCAGCUUGGCAUACUCAUCUUGGAGAUCCUAAGCGGAAAAUUCCCAGCCAAUUUCUCGCAAGGUAGUGAAGAGGAUUUAGCGAGUUGGGUGAACUUGGGUUUCCAUGGGGAAUGGGCACCAAAUUUAUUUGAUAAGGAGAUGGGCAAGACAAGCCAUUGUGAAGGACAUAUUCUCAAACUCUUGAGGAUCAGAUUGAGCUGUUGUGAACCAGACGUGGAGACAAGGUUGGACAUAAUAGAGGCUGUGGAGAAGAUUGAGGAGUUGAGGGAGUAGGAAGGGCAUGAUGACGACUUCUAUUCAACGUAUGUGAGUGAAACUGAUGGGAGGUCAUCUAAAGGAG